GCCUCCAACCCAGCGCAGAGAAGCAAGCCAAUCCAUCAGUUUAUCACUGGCUAAUCUGGAAGACAAAUUUGGGACGGUGAGGGCACAGGAAUGAGAACAGGAAGCAGAGCCAGUGUGAGAGGAAGCAGUUGAUUCAAACACCAUGGCCCUGUGAAGCUGAAUAAUACUGGGAAGCAAGACUUCUUACCAGGUCUUCCUUCUUCCUAAGACUGCUGCAGAAAGCCAGUCCCCAUGAGUCCUGUACAUGAAAAUGGACAAGUCUUCAUACCCAAAAACUCUACAGAGCAACGUCCUGCUUCUAAGGGAGUGGUGCUAAUUGGAACCUGGUGUGGCUGUUCCCUGGGAGGUUCUGCCAGCACCUGACCAAUGCAGAUGUGGAAGCUUGGAGCCAAUCAUCAGACUGACCUAGGGGACCCCAGUGGGGAAGCUGGCUGAAGGACUGGAGGAGCGGAGGGGGAUUGCAACCUUAUAGGAAGAACCAUGUCGACUGUCUGGACCACCCAAUGCUCCCAGGAACUAGACCACCAACCAAUGAGGGUAGUCUCCUGUCUUGGCUGAAACAAAGUGGCUACUAAAACCAUUUUCCUGG
rnacentral:lncRNA from 1 species